rnacentral:lncRNA from 1 species
UUUACUAUAAUGAACUAUAAAAUAAUUCACAAAAAUUUAAGUUUUCGAUAAAAUUAAUUUCAUUAACUAAAAUUUAACUAUUAAAAUAAGCAUCCAAUCAAUUUCCAUAAAGAAUUGAUUCUUUAAAAUAUAGACAAUAAGGCUAAGUAAAAAUAAUUUGUUUAACAUAUAUAUAAUAUGAACAUAUUUUAUAAAAACAUUUAUUUUUAAAAAAAAACUAGACAAGAAAAUAAAAUUAACUACUUUAAAAUUAUUUUAUGUGUUAAGAGAUGUAUUGGUAUUAUUUAUUAAAAAUGAUAUUUAUUUUAGUAAUUUUAAUUUUAUUUAAAAUAAAUUAACUUAUAAGUGAAGUUCUUAAAAAUAAUAAAUAACUUUUAAAUUAAAUAAAUAACUAAUCAAAUUUUACAAAAAACAAAAUAUACAAAAAUUCAAAAAAAAAAUCCCAAACAAAAACCAGAAACUAGAAUCUAGUAUCACCAUUCAAGUUUUUUGAGAAACUAAAUUCUAUAGCAAAAUCAAAAACCAAAAAUUUAAAACCAAAAUCUAAAAAGCAAAAUCCAAAUGCCAAAAACCAAAAUUCAAAAAUCAUGUAAACAAUUAUCACCUUAAUUAGCGCUUCGUUUUUUUAAGAAAAGUUUAGCGCUUUGUUUUAGCUUAAAUUUUGGUUUACAAGUGUUUAAAUCCUACCAUACAGAAGUAUAUAGAACAAUUCGAUGGAUGAUGACAAAAGAAUAAAGAACAAUUCGAUGGAACAAUUCGAUGUCCAGUUUCAAC